AGUGAACGCUGGCGGUAGGCCUAACACAUGCAAGUCGAACGGCAGCACAGUAAGAGCUUGCUCUUACGGGUGGCGAGUGGCGGACGGGUGCGGAAUACAUCGGAAUCUACUUUUUCGUGGGGGAUAACGUAGGGAAACUUACGCUAAUACCGCAUACGACCUACGGGUGAAAGCAGGGGAUCUUCGGACCUUGCGCGAUUGAAUGAGCCGAUGUCGGAUUAGCUAGUUGGCGGGGUAAAGGCCCACCAAGGCGACGAUCCGUAGCUGGUCUGAGAGGAUGAUCAGCCACACUGGAACUGAGACACGGUCCAGACUCCUACGGGAGGCAGCAGUGGGGAAUAUUGGACAAUGGGCGCAAGCCUGAUCCAACCAUACCGCGUGGGUGAAGAAGGCCUUCGGGUUGUAAAGCCCUUUUGUUGGGAAAGAAAAGCAGCAGGUUAAUACCCCGCUGUUCUGACGGUACCCAAAGAAUAAGCACCGGCUAACUUCGUG
rnacentral:rRNA from 1 species